AUGUCCUACGGGAGGCAGCAGUGAGGAAUAUUGGUCAAUGGGCUAAGGCCUGAACCAGCCAAGUCGCGUGAGGGAAGACGGUCCUAUGGAUUGUAAACCUCUUUUGUCGGGGAGCAACGAGGCCACGUGUGGCCGAAGUGAGAGUACCCGAAGAAAAAGCAUCGGCUAACUCCGUGCCAGCAGCCGCGGUAAUACGUAGGUGGCAAGCGUUAUCCGGAUUUAUUGGGUGUAAAGGGCGUGUAGGCGGGAAUGCAAGUCAGAUGUGAAAACUAUGGGCUCAACCCAUAGCCUGCAUUUGAAACUGG
rnacentral:rRNA from 1 species